rnacentral:rRNA from 1 species
GAUGAACGCUGGCGGCGUGCCUAAUACAUGCAAGUCGAGCGACCAGACGAGGAGCUUGUUCCAUUGACGUUAGCGGCGGACGGGUGAGUAACACGUGGAUAACCUACCUAUACUACUGGGCUAACUUAGGGAACCCGGGGCUAAUACCGGCUGAUUUUUUUACCCGCAUGGUUCACUAGUGAAAGACGGUUUUGCUGUCACUUAUAGAUGGAUCCGCGCCGCAUUCGCUAGUUGGUAAGGUCACGGCUUCCCAAGGCGACGAUGCGUAGCCGACCUGAGAGGGUGGUCGGCCACACUGGAACGGAGACACGAUCCAGACCCCUACGGGAGGCAGCAGUAGGGAAUCGUACGCAAGUGGCGGAAGGCUGACGUGGCAACGCCGCGUGGGUGAUGAAGGGCUUCGGAUCUUAGAACUCUGUUAUUAGGGAAGAACGAAUGUGUAAGUAACUAGGCACUUCUUGACGGUACCGAAUCAGAAAGGCACGGCUAACUACGUG